CACAAGGUUUGACCGUUGAAAGAGAACAAAGUUCACAUCGUCAACAACAACAGUGGGGGCAUUUCUGCCAAUGAGAGAGAGGGACGGGAGCAAAAGAAAGACAGAACGAGAGAAAAUCACAGUACCUGCUUUACCUCUGGAUUACACCCACCAUAUUUCUCCCUGAGGAAUUAUUCUGUGGAUUAUCUCACUUCCUUCACCGGUGAAACCUGAUGUGACACCCCGACGCUGACUGAGUUUUAAAACUUUUAGGUCUUGAAGUUAUGUGACAGCCAUUGCAAAUAUGUCACCUUUGACCUCCACUUAAUUCCUGGCUAUGAUACCAUUUCAUUUGAGUACCGACAGCUGCCAGGACAACUAUGUUUUAGCUCACUGAUAAUAUUUGGCAGCCAUCUGUAAAUCAUUACCAUCUGCAUCCCUUCAAACCUGUCUCUGGGGAACCUGAAACUCAGCAUGGAGGUGCUGAGCGGCCCCUGGGCUGAUUUGGCUCUGCUCCUUCGACAGACCAUGGUGCAGACAGACAGAGAGACAGACAGCUUCUUCCCUCUCUGGCUGUUUGGUCUGCUGCUGUUCCUGUCUGUCUGCCUGAUGCUGCUGCAACUGAUCGUCUACCUCAGCUGGAAGAUCAGACAGGUUGAGGAGGAUGUGGUGGUAGAAAACAGAAGCGCCAUCUACCGGCAGAUGAACAGGAGUGCAGACCGGAGCAGGAGGAGUGUUGGGUAGCGCUCAGCUGACGGCACACACGCACGCACACACUCUGACAGCACAGCACACACACACAUUUUCUUCACCAACCACACUGAAAACAGAAGCAUAAACCUUCUGAAAUCAUCACUUUUCUGUCACAUUGCACGGACAUCUCUACAAAUCAGUGUGAUAAUAAAUAUCAACUCAAUCAGGAAGACUUUAUCUCAGCCAUCAUAAAAGUGCCUUAAGAUGAUGAAUGUUGAAGCGUCUAAAGAAAAACCAUUAACUCUGAAAAAAGAUGUGAUAAUGACGACAGUUCUUUUAAACUUCAUGUUAAUCUUGAAUAUUACCUUUUCUGUCAUCGUUAUGAAGCUAAAAGCAUCAUAAAGCUUUCUUUAAAGCUUGGGAGAAAGUUUGAGAAACUGUGUUGAAAAGAUAAUUUGUUUGUAUUACUGUACCUUUAUGUUUCAUUAUUAGAAUAUCUCAACCGAGAAAACUAGUUUUAUGAGAAUUAGCAUACAGGAUUGACAUUUUAUACAACAAAUUAACCUAUGAAAGAAUAAAAAAUGAUGUGACCAACAGAUUUCAGAGUAUAACAAUCCUUUAUUUAAACAGUGUUACACAGGGGAGGAGUGGCUGUGCGUGGGGGACACAAGACAAUAAGCUGCUAGAUAGAAAAACCCUUCCGAUGAUCAUUGGUUGGCUAAAGAGAGAACAAUGAGGCAGCUGUGGUUGGUUUUCCAAAGUGUUUUUUGUUUUAUACAAAGUUUUUCUUUUGAGAUUUUAAGUCAUUGAAAUACAAAAUGAUGCUGGUUGUAUUGGUCAUUGAAAUGGUCAAAUCUGUGGUACAAAGCAUGAGAUAAUCAUCUACUUCAUCAGCCUCAUACAAGAAAACAACAACAUACUGUCUUUUGAUUAUAUAUUAUUAAUACCAUCUCUUUCUGUUAUUAAUGUUACCAUGUUUGUAUGGAGCUGCCACUGGUUACAUACUGAUAACUUUCAUCGGUUUGUCUAUAAUGUGUUUAAUGUUAAUAAAAUUACUUAUAGAAA